AGUUGACUGCAUAAUGUGGCAUCAAAGUCUGCAAGGAGAAACCAUGCAAUUGAGGAAGCCAAGAAACCUGUGAUAAUUUCAAGCAGCUUACCUACUCUUGAAACCUGGAUAGCAAAGCAUUGAGUUUGUUCUGGAAGCAUUUGUAGUCACAGCUCAUUAAGCAUCCCCCUGAAGCAGGACCCUCAGUCUAGGGACGCCAAUUGACGAAAUAAAACUUGUCAUUCAGCAACACAGCCAGUUGCAGCAGUUGUUACCAUAUUGACCCCAGUCAAAACUAGGAGCACAGAGAUAACACAGCCAGUUGCAGCAGUUGUUA